AUUGAACGCUGGAGGCAGGCCUAACACAUGCAAGUCGAGCGGAAACGAAGGGAGCUUGCUCCCAGGCGUCGAGCGGAGGGCGGGUGAGUAACACGUGAGAAUCUGCCCAUUAGUGGGGGAAAACUCGGGGAAACUCGAGCUAAUAACGCAUAAUCCGCACGGGGGAAAGCAGGGGACCUUUUGGCGUUGCGCUUGUGGGUCGGCGCACGUCGGAGUAGCUUGUUGGUGAGGUAAAGGCUCACCAAGGCGACGAUCCGUAGCUGGUCUGAGAGGAUGAUCAGCCACACUGGGACUGAGACACGGCCCAGACUCCUACGGGAGGCAGCAGUGGGGAAUCUUGGACAAUGGGGGCAACCCUGAUCCAGCCAUGCCGCGUGUGUGAAGAAGGCCUUCGGGUUGUAAAGCACUUUCAGCAGGGAGGAAGGCUUUGGCCGAAUAGGUCGAAGUACUUGACGUUACCUGCAGAAGAAGCACCGGCUAAUUUCGUGCCAGCCGCCGCCGUAA
rnacentral:rRNA from 1 species